ACCAGACUCCUACGGGAGGCAGCAGUGGGGGAUAUUGCACAAUGGGGGGGACCCUGAUGCAGCGACGCCGCGUGGGUGAAGAAGCGCCUCGGCGCGUAAAGCCCUGUCAGCAGGGAAGAAAAUGACGGUACCUGAAGAAGAAGCCCCGGCUAACUACGUGCCAGCAGCCGCGGUAAUACGUAGGGGGCAAGCGUUAUCCGGAUUUACUGGGUGUAAAGGGGGCGCAGACGGCGAUGCAAGCCAGGAGUGAAAGCCCGGGGCCCAACCCCGGGACUGCUCUUGGAACUGCGUGGCUGGAGUGCAGGAGGGGCAGGCGGAAUUCCUGGUGUAGCGGUGAAAUGCGUAGAUAUCAGGAGGAACACCGGUGGCGAAGGCGGCCUGCUGGACUGCAACUGACGUUGAGGCCCGAAAGCGUGGGGAGCAAACAGGAUUAGAUACCCGCGUACA
rnacentral:rRNA from 1 species